GUUUGCUAGAGCUCACUCCAACCCAAUGUGAACCAUACCAAACUGUUGCCUCGGCGGGGUCACGCCCCGGGUGCGUCGCAGCCCCGGAACCAGGCGCCCGCCGGAGGGACCAACCAAACUCUUUACUGUAGUCCCCUCGCGGACGUUAUUUCUUACAGCUCUGAGCAAAAAAUUCAAAAUGAAUCAAAACUUUCAACAACGGAUCUCUUGGUUCUGGCAUCGAUGAAGAACGCAGCGAAAUGCGAUAAGUAAUGUGAAUUGCAGAAUUCAGUGAAUCAUCGAAUCUUUGAACGCACAUUGCGCCCGCCAGUAUUCUGGCGGGCAUGCCUGUCCGAGCGUCAUUUCAACCCUCGAACCCCUCCGGGGGGUCGGCGUUGGGGAUCGGGAACCCCUCAGACGGGAUCCCGGCCCCGAAAUACAGUGGCGGUCUCGCCGCAGCCUCUCCUGCGCAGUAGUUUGCACAACUCGCACCGGGAGCGCGGCGCGUCCACGUCCGUAAAACACCCAACUUUCUGAAAUGUUGACCUCGGAUCAGGUAGGAAUACCCGCUGAACUUAAGCAUAUCAAUAAAGCGGAGGAA
rnacentral:rRNA from 1 species